GUACUAUCCAAGUGGCAUUUGCUGUUGAAGGUGUAUAUGGAGUGACUAAUUCUCUAGGCAGGAUCUCUGGGAUUCUGGGAGACAGCCACCUGCUUCUAAAAUCAUUGGAUCCUGCUUCAAUGGAACCCUGAAAUGCUGUUCAUUUGGGCGGUAAAGAACCUUGUGAGCU